rnacentral:tRNA from 1 species
GGAUGGGUGACCCGAGCGGCAAAGGGAGCAGAUUGUAGUCCUGCUGUGUCUUUACACUUCGGGGGUUCGAGUCCCUCACCAUCCA